rnacentral:lncRNA from 1 species
GGGGGGUGUCAGCUGGUUUUGAUGUGAAGCAGUGAACACAAAAUGCAUUACCCACUGACUGCAUACAAGCACAGCAAACAGUUUACAAGAAGAUGUUUCAUGUUCCAUCAUCUCUUGGCCCCUGUGAGAAACGGCAAGAUCCAGCAACCGAGAACAACCCAUUUCAAACUAAACAUGAAGGCAGAUCCCUCUCAAGGGAUUCAGGAGUCAGCUCCACAGAAAUAGAAAUAAGAAGUCAGAUGUCCGACAGCGGAGACGCAUCAGGAUCGGCAUCCCUUUUCUUUGGCCAAAAUGAACCACUCGUGGACACUGGAGAAAUCAGUGGUUUAUCCGAACAUGAGCUCCUUGAUAUUACAUAUGAUGCAUGCAACACAAAAAACACGGGGAAGGUUCUUGCUUCAACAAUCAUGCAGUACUUGCAGGCAAUGACAGGCCAGAGCGCUGAGCAGGACAAACUGAUUGCCCUGAGGCGUAUGCUGGACCCUGACUGCCAGGACCAUGUGGUGAGCAGGGAGACCUUCCACUCCACCAUGAAGGAAUGGAUCGCCCAAUGCCACCAGGAAAGGUAGUCAUGCAGGAACCA